AAGGUUUAGGGCUUUACAAGCGCGAUGCGGCAACGCCAGGUACUGGGAUCCGCCACAGGGAUUCGCAUUCUUACAGGAUGUAUGGUCUCGAGCAAGCGAUCUAUGGGCGGAUUCAGCGGCGGCCAGGACGCGAUGACCUACGCCAAGCUCGCCGUGCGCGAGAAGGAAAUGCGGCUCAUCCAUCGUGUGGCCGGGGCCGUGGCUGCCAAGGAGCUCGUCUCAAAGGCGCGGUUUCAAAAGAUCGCCAAGAAGCUGGGAUUUCGCAACAGGGACUCCGACUUCUUUCUGAGGAAAUUCCGGCUCAUGUUUGAGAUGUGUGACAAGGAGUCCCGUAAGAUUGUGGAGCUGACCGAGACGAUGAAGCACCUCAUGAAGAGGGAGGAGGAAGUUCUAAAGCAGCACGAGCCGUAUGCUGUCCAGGUCUUGAGGAAGCUCUUGAUGAUGGCCAAGGAAGGGAGGAUUCCAGUGAAGAAGCUUAGCAUUCUCAAGCCGUGCUUUGGCUUCUCCGAGGAUUUCGAGACCACCACCCUGGUCAGGUUCCCGGAUUUUUUCACGAUCACCAGGAACCAAAAGGACGACGCGAUGCUGGAGCUGGGGGCUUGGGAUCCAGCGCUAGCGGUCACGGCUCGAGAGCUCCGGGGGGUAAAACAUAUAGACCCGAGCCGCAAGGACAAGUUUUGCGAGGGAAAUGUUCACAGCUUUCGAGUAGCUUUCGAGAACAACUGCGAGAUGGAAAGGGACAGAUACCUGAAGCUCUUGUCCUUCCAGAAGCGCCGGUUUGAUUCUCCAUACGAGCGUGGUGGUAAAGUUGACGAUCCUGAUGGCUCGCCAGAGGCGCGGAAGCGGUCUCUCGCGGUUUGUCACGAGUUUCUAAGCUUGACGUUGCUGAAGCGAGCGAAUGUGAGAGAUCUAGCGAUUCUCAAAGACGAGCUCCAGCUUCCAGAGGACUUGGCCAAGUUUUUACGGAGGGAGUCGCUGUUCUUCGCCAUGGAACGGCUCAACAACUAUUACUUCGUGUUCUUGAGGGAAGCUUACCACUGGGACUACAAGAUUGAGAUGUCCCCGUACAUUGAUUUGCGUCGGAAGUACGUGGAACUGGCGCUUGUUUCGAGGAAGAAGAGACCACUUAAGCGGAGCUUGCUACCUCUAACAGAUCCGCGAAGAAGAAGCCGGAGCAGUCUUUGUACUCCAGAUUCCUCGCCUGAGGCUGAGCCGGAUCUUUCCAAGGCCGUUAACGAUGAAGAACUGGAGGACACAACUUAUGAAAGUGAUCAUCCGGCAGAAGUGAGCGACAGUAACGACUUUAGUGAUGGAACCAGUGACGAUACAGAGGACGACGUGAUUUCUCGCGAACAGCAACCAGCAACAGCAUCAAGCAGAUCUCGAUAAUGGAGGCAGAGUCGACUCUAGCUCUGACUGAUAAGCUGGAGAAGCCGGCAGCCAUCGCAACUUGCUCCAACUCCUUACAUCUUUUUACCUUCAGCAACAUGAGGUCUCCUUGAGGAACGGAGACGAACAUGUCUCCUCCGACGUUUUCCAUACCUGAAGAUUAGAUACGUGUUCCACGACCGCUGGGAGAUCGAAGUUAAUCCCUUUGACGUUCGGGUACUUGGCAAGGAUGAUUUCUAGAGACGCUCCCAAGCUGCCACCGAC